UACAGAGGUCCCAAGCGUUGUCCGGAAUUAUUGGGCGUAAAGGGCUCGUAGGCGGUCCAUCGCGUCGGGAGUGAAAAGCUGGGGCUUAACCCCAGUCCUGCUUCCGAUACGGGUGGACUAGAGGUAGGUAGGGGAGAACGGAAUUCCUGGUGUAGCGGUGAAAUGCGCAGAUAUCAGGAGGAACACCGGUGGCGAAGGCGGUUCUCUGGGCCUUACCUGACGCUGAGGAGCGAAAGCAUGGGGAGCAAACAGG
rnacentral:rRNA from 1 species